rnacentral:rRNA from 1 species
CUACGGGAGGCAGCAGUGGGGAAUCUUAGACAAUGGGGGCAACCCUGAUCUAGCCAUGCCGCGUGAGUGACGAAGGCCUUAGGGUCGUAAAGCUCUUUCGCUGGGGAAGAUAAUGACGGUACCCAGUAAAGAAACCCCGGCUAACUCCGUGCCAGCAGCCGCGGUAAUACGGAGGGGGUUAGCGUUGUUCGGAAUUACUGGGCGUAAAGCGCGCGUAGGCGGAUUGGAAAGUUGGGGGUGAAAUCCCGGGGCUCAACCCCGGAACUGCCUCCAAAACUAUCAGUCUAGAGUUCGAGAGAGGUGAGUGGAAUUCCGAGUGUAGAGGUGAAAUUCGUAGAUAUUCGGAGGAACACCAGUGGCGAAGGCGGCUCACUGGCUCGAUACUGACGCUGAGGUGCGAAAGUGUGGGGAGCAAACAGGAUUAGAUACCCUGGUAGUCCACACCGUAAACGAUGAAUGCCAGUCGUCGGGUUGCAUGCAAUUCGGUGACACACCUAACGGAUUAAGCAUUCCGCCUGGGGAGUACGGUCGCAAGAUUAAAACUCAAAGGAAUUGACGG